rnacentral:rRNA from 2 species
GCCUGAUGCAGCGACGCCGCGUGGGGGAUGAAGGCCUUCGGGUUGUAAACCCCUUUCAGUAGGGAAGAAGCGAAAGUGACGGUACCUACAGAAGAAGCGCCGGCUAACUACGUGCCAGCAGCCGCGGUAAUACGUAGGGCGCAAGCGUUGUCCGGAAUUAUUGGGCGUAAAGAGCUCGUAGGCGGUUUGUCGCGUCUGCUGUGAAAACCCGAGGCUCAACCUCGGGCCUGCAGUGGGUACGGGCAGACUAGAGUGUGGUAGGGGAGACUGGAAUUCCUGGUGUAGCGGUGGAAUGCGCAGAUAUCAGGAGGAACACCAAUGGCGAAGGCAGGUCUCUGGGCCACAACUGACGCUGAGGAGCGAAAGCGUGGGGAGCGAACAGGAUUAGAUACCCUGGUAGUCCACGCCGUAAACGGUGGGCACUAGAUGUGGGGCUCUUUCCAUGAGUUCCGCGUCGCAGCUAACGCAUUAAGUGCCCCGCCUGGGGAGUACGGCCGCAAGGCUAAAACUCAAAGGAAUUGACGGGGGCCCGCACAAGCGGCGGAGCAUGCGGAUUAAUUCGAUGCAACGCGAAGAACCUUACCAAGGCUUGACAUAUGCCGUUUAUCCCUAGAGAUAGGGAGUCCUUCGGGGCGG